GAUGAAGAACGUAGCGAAAUGCGAUAAGUAGUGUGAAUUGCAGAAUUCAGUGAAUCAUCGAAUCUUUGAACGCACAUUGCGCCCUUUGGUAUUCCUUAGGGCAUGCCUGUUCGAGCGUCAUUUAAACCUUCAAGCUCAGCUUGGUGUUGGGUGACUGUCCGCCGCCUCCGGGCGGUCGGACUCGCCUCAAAUUGAUUGGCGGCCGGUACUUUGGCUUCGAGCGCAGCAGAAACGCGAACUCGAGGCCGUCGUCCUGGCUCCCAGAAGCUAUCUUCACAAUUUUGACCUCGGAUCAGGUAGGGAUACCCGCUGAACUUAAGCAUAUCAAUAAGCGGAAGA
rnacentral:misc_RNA from 1 species